rnacentral:rRNA from 1 species
UACAGAGGUCCCAAGCGUUGUUCGGAUUCACUGGGCGUAAAGGGUGCGUAGGCGGUCGGGUAAGUCUGAUGUGAAAUCCCACAGCUUAACUGUGAAACUGCAUUGGAUACUAUCCGGCUCGAGGAAUGGAGGGGAGACUGGAAUACUUGGUGUAGCAGUGAAAUGCGUAGAUAUCAAGUGGAACACCAGUGGCGAAGGCGAGUCUCUAGACAUUUCCUGACGCUGAGGCACGAAAGCCAGGGGAGCAAACGGG